AAUUACCGAGAGAAUUUAUAAGAAACAGUACUGAUAGAAUACAGAUAAUUUAUGAAACUAAAUGACGAUGCGAAAUUGCUGUUUACUUAUAAAAAUACUUGUAUAUGUAACUUAAGUGAAUUUUUCAUGAUAGGAAAUACAUGUAAAGUAACACAUGAAGUAAGUAUGGAAGGAAAUUUUGUAGAUGUGGAAAAGACAAGCAUCUUUGCAAUAUGUAGCCUACAAAUUCCAUGACCCUCGUAUAACUAACAAUGAGUGUAUCAUCUGAAACGGCUAAGCGAAUUCAAUUGGUUAUUUUGCGGUAAAAAUACAAUGAAUAUUUUUUUGACAAAUAUCCAACAUCUCUUACACGAAAGUUACGAAAAUAUAAAGCGUGUCGUAAGGAAACUUCAUACGAAACCCAAAAGUAGAUCUUGCAUUAUUGUAUCCUAAAUAUUGUCAGGAUUUCCCAUUUUUAAUAUAAAAAAGGUAAUGAAUAUUAUUCUAUAAUCUUAUUUUAUAAAAAAAAUACUUGAAUCUUAAAUCAGCA
rnacentral:lncRNA from 1 species